rnacentral:rRNA from 1 species
CACGUAGGGCGCAAGCGUUGUCCGGAAUUAUUGGGCGUAAAGAGCUCGUAGGCGGUUUGUCGCGUCUGCCGUGAAAGUCCGGGGCUCAACUCCGGAUCUGCGGUGGGUACGGGCAGACUAGAGUGAUGUAGGGAAGACUGGAAUUCCUGGUGUAGCGGUGAAAUGCGCAGAUAUCAGGAGGAACACCGAUGGCGAAGGCAGGUCUCUGGGCAUUAACUGACGCUGAGGAGCGAAAGCAUGGGGAGCGAACAGG